rnacentral:rRNA from 1 species
AUUGAACGCUAGCGGGAGGCCUUACACAUGCAAGUCGAACGGAGUGGCGAACGGGUGAGUAAUGUAUCGGAACGUGCCCAGUAGCGGGGGAUAACUACGCGAAAGGGGAGCUAAUACCGCAUACUAUUGGAGCGGCCGAUAUCGGAUUAGCUAGUUGGUGGGGUAACGGCAUACCAAGGCGACGAUCCGUAGCUGGUUUGAGAGGACGACCAGCCACACUGGGACUGAGACACGGGCCAGACUCCUACGGGAGGAAGCAGUGGGGAAUUUUGGACAAUGGGCGAAACCCUGAUCCAGCCAUCCCGCGUGUGCGAAGAAGGUCUUCGGAUUGUAAAGCACUUUAAGCAGGAAGGCGGUACCUGCAGAAUAAGCACCGGCUAACUACGUGCCAGCAGCCGCGGUAAUUC